rnacentral:tRNA from 1 species
GCGCCCGUAGCUCAAUUGGAUAGAGCAUCUGACUUCGGAUCAGAGGGUUUGGGGUUCGAGUCCCUUCGGGCGUA